UACGUAGGGUGCAAGCGUUAAUCGGAAUUACUGGGCGUAAAGCGUGCGCAGGCGGUUAUGCAAGACAGAGGUGAAAUCCCCGGGCUCAACCUGGGAACUGCCUUUGUGACUGCAUAGCUAGAGUACGGUAGAGGGGGAUGGAAUUCCGCGUGUAGCAGUGAAAUGCGUAGAUAUGCGGAGGAACACCGAUGGCGAAGGCAAUCCCCUGGACCGGUACUGACGCUCAUGCACGAAAGCGUGGGGAGCAAACAGG
rnacentral:rRNA from 1 species